UCGUGUUUUUCAGACUGCUACUUUCGAGAAUUAAGAUUGUUUGAUUUCAAAACUCCUUAGAAAAGAUAUCCUUAAUUAGUUGUGGUGUUAAGCUGGUGAGUGCUAUUUCUUAUCCAGCUUUCUAGAACAUUUCCUGUUGGGAACCGUUGGUGGGAGGUGCGUUGGUCUGGGUUGAAUGUCACUUGUGGAGAGGAGCCGCAGGUGCCUCAGGUACGCUGUCUUGGUCGGCUGAAGCCUGAGCUGCUGUCGCAGUGCCCCCAGAGACGGGUGUGAGGAGGCACAGUCGGGCAUGCACGGCAGGGGGAUGGGGAAGGGUCUGGUAUUGGGUGGCUCUGCUCUUCACACCUGUGCAGGAGCCUGGAUCUUCCCGUCUCAUUGCUCUAGUGUCAAAGGCGCCGGCCUUCGUGACGAGCCACGUGGUGCGGGUGAGAGAGCAGGAGUGCAGGGCGGCAGAACCCUAUUAGGUGGGCGGGCGGCUUGCACAUCACUGCCCACAGUCCACUGGAUGAAGAUGAAGGAUCCUUGAUUUCCUUGUGUGGAUGACCGGGGACAGGCUAACUAUGUACUAGGAUGAGAGUGUGAUUUCAAACACUGCGAACUCCCUAACUCAGAGGCAUCGCAGAAGACCUGGCAUUUUGUGGUUAUUUUUAUAAAGUGUAUGUUGUUCUUUGCUUCUGGGAACUUUGAACAUGUUAAAUAAUUGUUCAAAUGAAUAUAUUACUGGAAAUAA